rnacentral:rRNA from 1 species
AAUGAACGCUGGCGGCGUGCGUAACACAUGCAAGUCGAACGUGAAAGUCCCCUUCGGGGGAUGAGUAAAGUGGCAAACGGGUGAGUAACACGUGGGUAACCUGCCCUCUGGUGGGGGAUAACCCUGCGAAAGCGGGGCUAAUACCGCAUAACAAGUCGCUAAAUAAUUAGUCGACUUCAAAGCCUUCGGGCGCUAGAGGAGGGGCCCGCGUCCCAUUAGCUAGUUGGUAGGGUAACGGCCUACCAAGGCUGCGAUGGGUAGCCGGCCUGAGAGGGUGUCCGGCCACACUGGAACUGAGACACGGUCCAGACCUCCUACGGGAGGCAGCAGUGGGGAAUUUUGCGCAAUGGGCGAAAGCCUGACGCAGCGACGCCGCGUGGGUGAUGAAGUUCUUCGGAACGUAAAGCCCUGUCAGGAGGGACGAAGCUCUGACGGUACCUCCAAAGGAAGCCCCGGCUAACUCCGUG